AAACAGGUAAGCUAAACAAGCUAAUGGAUUCAUACCCCAUUUAUAAAGGCCAUUUACCCCUUUCCUUUUUA
rnacentral:tRNA from 1 species